rnacentral:tRNA from 1 species
GUGAUCGUAGCUCAAUUGGUUAGAGCCCCGGGUUGUGGACCCGGAGGUUGGCGGUUCAAGCCCGCUCGAUCACC